CCUGCCCACUGAUUAAUUAAAUGGCCGCAGUAAUUUGACUGUGCAAAGGUAGCAUAAUCAUUAGUUUUUUAAUUAAAAGCUUGUAUGAAAGGUUGGACGAGAUAAAAUCUGUCUUUAUUUAAUUUAUUUUAGAAUUUAAUUUUUAAGUUAAAAAGCUUAAAUUUAUAUAAAAGACGAGAAGACCCUAUAGAUCUUUAUAUUAUUAUAAAUGAUUUUAAUUAAGAAUAAUUUAUUUUUUAUUUUUAGUAGUAUUUCAUUGGGGUAAUGAAAAGAUUAAAUUAAUUCUUUUUGAUAUUUAAUAUUAAUUAAUAGUUUUAUGAUCCAAUAAUUUUGAUUAAAAGAUUAAGUUACCUUAGGGAUAACAGCGUAAUUUUUUUAGAGAGUUCAUAUCGAUAAAAAAGUUUGCGACCUCGAUGUUGGAUUAAAAAUUAUUCUAGGUGCAGAAGUUUAGAAAUUUGGUCUGUUCGACCAUUAAAUUUUUACAUGAUCUGAGUUCAAACCGGUGUAAGCCAGGUUGGUUUCUAUCUUUAUAAGAUUAAUAUAUUUUAGUACGAAAGGACCAGAUAUAUAAUAUAUUUAUAUUUAUAAUUUUGAUUAUUAUU
rnacentral:rRNA from 1 species